AUUUGAAAAUUAUCCCACAGACAUUGUGAGUUGUUUAUAUUAUCAUUAAUGCGGAUAAAUAACACAAAUACACCUCCUGUCCUUGUCCUGAAACAUCUACAAGGACCCCUGUCUGCCAAGACAUAAGCCUAUCCCCAUGAAGAGCCACUAAGAAUUCUAUCACUACAAAGUCAACUUGCAUUGAAUUACUACAAGGAACAGUCCACUGUGGCAAGAGGAAGAAAUGUACACCUUCUUGUGGCAAUCGAAUAACUGCAAUAAUUUUAUGUCACUAAGCUGACUCACAUACAGGAAUGGUGGUAUAAACGCGUCAAUGGUAGUCUAAACUCAUCAGCAGACAAAUGCACUGACAGUUUGAUUGUUGAAGGAGUAUAUUCACGGCUCUCACAUCUUU